rnacentral:rRNA from 1 species
AUUGAACGCUGGCGGCAUGCCUUACACGUGCAAGUCGAACGGCAGCACGGGUGCUUGCACCUGGUGGCGAGUGGCGAACGGGUGAGUAAUACAUCGGAACAUGUCCUGUAGUGGGGGAUAGCCCGGCGAAAGCCGGAUUAAUACCGCAUACGAUCUACGGAUGACAGCGGGGGACCUUCGGGCCUCGCGCUAUAGGGUUGGCCGAUGGCUGUUUAGCUAGUUGGUGGGGUAAAGGCCUACCAAGGCGACGAUCAGUAGCUGGUCUGAGAGGACGACCAGCCACACUGGGACUGAGACACGGCCCAGACUCCUACGGGAGGCAGCAGUGGGGAAUUUUGGACAAUGGGCGAAAGCCUGAUCCAGCAAUGCCGCGUGUGUGAAGAAGGCCUUCGGGUUGUAAAGCACUUUUGUCCGGAAAGAAAUCCUUGGCCCUAAUACGGUCGGGGGAUGACGGUACCGGAAGAAUAAGCACCGGCUAACUACGUG